rnacentral:lncRNA from 1 species
AUGUUCUUCAAGAGCGGUGACGACACGUUCGAGCUGCAUUCGGUGCAGCUCGAGCUGGAGGCCGUGGAGAAGCAGAUUCGGGUCCUGGAGCAGAGGCAGGCCCAGCUGAGAGAGCGGAGAGCCGCGCUGGAAACCUCCCGGGCUGA